rnacentral:rRNA from 1 species
UACGAAGGGGACUAGCGUUGUUCGGAAUUACUGGGCGUAAAGCGCACGUAGGCGGAUUUGUAAGUCAGGGGUGAAAUCCCGGGGCUCAACCUCGGAACUGCCUUUGAUACUGCAAGUCUCGAGUCCGAUAGAGGUGGGUGGAAUUCCUAGUGUAGAGGUGAAAUUCGUAGAUAUUAGGAAGAACACCGGUGGCGAAGGCAGCUCUCUGGGCCUGUUCUGACGCUGAGGAGCGAAAGCUGGGGGAGCGAACAGG